rnacentral:rRNA from 1 species
GAUCUGAGUAUAUCAAUAUUACCUUGUUCAGAACUUAAAGAGAAAUCUUGAGUUUAUGGACUUCAGGGGGAGUAUGGUCACAAGGCUGAAACUUAAAGGAAUUGACGGAAGGGCACACCAGGAGUGGAGCCUGCGGCUUAAUUUGACUCAACACGGGAAAACUUACCAAGACCGAACAGUAGAAGGAAUGACAGAUUAAGAGUUCUUUCAUGAUUUAUUGGGUAGUGGUGCAUGGCCGUUCUUAGUUGGUGGAGUGAUUUGUCAGGUUAAUUCCGGUAACGAACGAGACUGAAACCUAUUAAUUAGUUUUCUGCCUAUAAGACAGAAAUGUUCGCAAGAACAGGUGCGUAAGUACCACUUCUUAAAGGGACACAUUUCAAUUGUCCUAUUUUAAUUGUAGUUAUCUAAUU